rnacentral:rRNA from 1 species
GACGAACGCUGGCGGCGUGCUUAACACAUGCAAGUCGAACGAAGAACUUGGAGCUUGCUCUGGGGGAUUAGUGGCGAACGGGUGAGUAACACGUGAGUAACCUGCCCUGGACUCUGGGAUAACUUCGAGAAAUCGGAGCUAAUACCGGAUAGGACCUUGCACCGCAUGGUGUGGGGUGGAAAGUUUUUCGGUUUGGGAUGGACUCGCGGCCUAUCAGCUUGUUGGUGAGGUAAUGGCUCACCAAGGCGUCGACGGGUAGCCGGCCUGAGAGGGUGACCGGGCACACUGGGACUGAGGCACGGCCCAGAGUCCUACGGGAGGCAGCAGUGGGGAAUAUUGCACAAUGGGCGCAAGCUUGAUGCAGCAACGCCGCGUGCGGGAUGACGGCCUUCGGGUUGUAAACCGCUUUUAGUAGGGAAGAAGCCUUCGGGUGACGGUACCUGCAGAAAAAGGACCGGCUAACUACGUGCCAGCCGCCGCAGUAACAC